AAUCAAGCGCGAGAAGGGCGUUUGGUGGAUGCCUUGGCAGUAAGAGGCGAUGAAGGACGUGAUACUCUGCGAUAAGCCAUGAGGAGCUGAGAAUAAGCUUUGAUCCAUGGAUUUCCGAAUGGGGCAACCCAUCUGACAGUUGAUUAUAAUUGCCUCUGGCGAUUUAUAAUUGGCUGAACCAGAUACUUAAAACCUGAAUACAUAGGGUUUUAAGAGCAAACCCGGAGAACUGAAACAUCUAAGUACCCGGAGGAAAGGACAGCAAUAGCUACUCCCCUAGUAGCGGCGAGCGAACGGGGACCAGCCGAGCCUUGAGAGUGACCAGAACAUGUUGGGAAGCAUGGCCAUAGCGGGUGACAGCCCCGUAUGGGAAGCUCGAUGGGACGUAUUAAGUAGGGCGGGACACGUGAAAUCCUGUCUGAAGAUCGGAGGACCACCUUCGAAGGCUAAGUACUCCUUACUGACCGAUAGCGAACCAGUACCGUGAGGGAAAGGUGAAAAGCACCCCGACGAGGGGAGUGAAACAGUACCUGAAACCGGACGCCUACAAUCAGUCGGAGCUUGACUGGACUCUAAUGACAAUCUAUUAGUGUCCAGUCUUGUGACGGCGUACCUUUUGUAUAAUGGGUCAUCGACUUGGUCUAUCUAGCAAGCUUAAGCCGUUAGGUGUAGGCGCAGCGAAAGCGAGUCUGAAUAGGGCGAAUGAGUUAGAUGGAUCAGACCCGAAACCGAGUGAUCUAGGCAUGACCAGGCUGAAGGUAAGGUAACACUUACUGGAGGGCCGAACCCACACCUGUUGAAAAAGGUCGGGAUGAGUUGUGCCUAGGGGUGAAAGGCCAAUCAAACUCGGAGAUAGCUGGUUCUCUGCGAAAUCUAUUUAGGUAGAGCGUCAUCCGAAUACCCUCGGGGGUAGAGCACUGGAUGGGUAAUGGGGCCCCACAGGCUUACUGAUCCUAACCAAACUCCGAAUACCGAGGAGUACUAGAUGGCAGACACACUGCGGAUGCUAACGUCCGUAGUGAAGAGGGAAACAACCCUGACCUACAGCUAAGGCCCCCAAUUCGUGGCUAAGUGGGAAAGCAGGUGGGACGACCAAAACAACCAGGAGGUUGGCUUAGAAGCAGCCAUCCUUUAAAGAUAGCGUAACAGCUCACUGGUCUAAACAAGUUGUCCUGCGGCGAAGAUGUAACGGGGCUCAAGCCACGAGCCGAAGCUUAGGAUGCCGUAAGGCAUGGUAGCAGAGCGUAGUGUGACAUAGGUCCAUUCCUCCUUAGCGCCUUCGGGCGUGUUGGAGGAGAGGAGCUUUCGAUGAAGCGGGCGCGUGAGCGAUCCCGUGGAGAGAUCACUAGCGAGAAUGAUGACAUGAGUAGCGACAAACAGGGUGAGAGACCCUGUCGCCGAAAGUCCAAGGGUUCCUGCUUAAAGCUAAUCUGAGCAGGGUAAGCCGACCCCUAAGGCGAGGCCGAAAGGCGUAGUCGAUGGGAACCAGGUUAAUAUUCCUGGGCCAGAUGGAAGUGACGGAUCUCGAAGGUUGUUCGUUCUUAUCGGAUUGAACGGGCCGCUCAGAGGUUCCUGGAAAUAGCUCCAUCGCUAGAUCGUACCCUAAACCGACACAGGUGGACUGGUAGAGAAUACCAAGGCGCUUGAGAGAACGAUGUUGAAGGAACUCGGCAAAAUACCUCCGUAAGUUCGCGAGAAGGAGGCCCAGUUUCUACGCAAGUAUUGGCUGGGGGCACAAACCAGGGGGUGGCGACUGUUUACUAAAAACACAGGGCUCUGCGAAGUCGCAAGACGACGUAUAGGGUCUGACGCCUGCCCGGUGCCUGAAGGUUAAAAGGAGGGGUGAGAGCUCUGAAUUGAAGCCCAGGUAAACGGCGGCCGUAACUAUAACGGUCCUAAGGUAGCGAAAUUCCUUGUCGGGUAAGUUCCGACCUGCACGAAUGGCGUAACGACUUCCCCGCUGUCUCCAACAUCGACUCAGCGAAAUUGAAUUGCCUGUCAAGAUGCAGGCUUCCCGCGGUUAGACGGAAAGACCCCGUGCACCUUUACUACAGCUUCGCACUGGCAUCAGGAUUGUGAUGUGCAGGAUAGGUGGUAGGCUUUGAACCCGUGACGCCAGUCGCGGUGGAGCCUCCCUUGAGAUACCACCCUUCGCACUCUUGAUGUCUAACCGCGGUCCGUUAUCCGGAUCCGGGACCCUGCGUGGCGGGUAGUUUGACUGGGGCGGUCGCCUCCUAAAGCGUAACGGAGGCGCGCGAAGGUUGGCUCAGAGCGGUCGGAAAUCGCUCGUUGAGUGCAAUGGCAGAAGCCAGCCUGACUGCAAGACUGACAAGUCGAGCAGAGUCGAAAGACGGCCAUAGUGAUCCGGUGGUCCCGAGUGGAAGGGCCAUCGCUCAACGGAUAAAAGGUACGCCGGGGAUAACAGGCUGAUACUGCCCAAGAGUCCAUAUCGACGGCAGUGUUUGGCACCUCGAUGUCGGCUCAUCUCAUCCUGGGGCUGGAGCAGGUCCCAAGGGUAUGGCUGUUCGCCAUUUAAAGAGGUACGUGAGCUGGGUUUAGAACGUCGUGAGACAGUUCGGUCCCUAUCUGCCGUGGGUGUAGGAUACUUGAGAGGAGUUGCCCCUAGUACGAGAGGACCGGGGUGAACGAUCCACUGGUGGACCUGUUGUCGUGCCAACGGCAGUGCAGGGUAGCUAUGAUCGGACAGGAUAACCGCUGAAGGCAUCUAAGCGGGAAGCCCCCCUCAAAACAAGGUAUCCCCGAGGGCCGUGGUAGACCACCACGUCGAUAGGCCGGAGAUGUAAGCGCAGCAAUGCGUUCAGUUGACCGGUACUAAUUGCCCGAUAGGCUUGAUUUGA
rnacentral:rRNA from 1 species